rnacentral:rRNA from 1 species
UGGGGAAUUGUUCGCAAUGGGCGCAAGCCUGACGACGCAACGCCGCGUGGAGGAUGAAGGUCUUCGGAUUGUAAACUCCUGUUGCCCGGGACGAAUGGCUCCAACCUAAUACGUUGGAGUGUGACGGUACCGGGUGAGGAAGCCCCGGCUAACUCUGUGCCAGCAGCCGCGGUAAUACAGAGGGGGCAAGCGUUGUUCGGAAUUACUGGGCGUAAAGGGCGCGUAGGCGGCCUGCUAAGUCGAACGUGAAAUCCCUGGGCUCAACCCAGGAACUGCGUCCGAUACUGGUUGGCUUGAAUCCGGGAGAGGGAUGUGGAAUUCCAGGUGUAGCGGUGAAAUGCGUAGAUAUCUGGAGGAACACCGGUGGCGAAGGCGACGUCCUGGACCGGUAUCGACGCUGAGGCGCGAAAGCCAGGGGAGCAAACGGGAUUAGAUACCCCGGUAGUCCUGGCCCUAAACGAUGAAUGCUUGGUGUGGCGGGUAUCGAUCCCUGCCGUGCCGAAGCUAACGC